GACGCUGGCGGUAGGCUUAACACAUGCAAGUCGUGCGAGAAAGUACCCUCGGGUGCGAGUAGAGCGGCGGACGGGUGAGUAACGCGUAGGAAUCUACCUAGUAGAAGGGGAUAGCCCGAGGAAACUCGGAUUAAUACCGUAUACCUCCUUAGGGAGAAAGAGGGCUUAGCUUUGAUGCUCUCGCUAUUAGAUGAGCCUGCGUAAGAUUAGCUUGUUGGUGAGGUAAUGGCUCACCAAGGCGACGAUCUUUAGCUGGUCUGAGAGGACGAUCAGCCACAUUGGGACUGAGACACGGCCCAGACUCCUACGGGAGGCAGCAGUGGGGAAUAUUGGACAAUGGGCGCAAGCCUGAUCCAGCCAUACCGCGUGUGUGAAGAAGGCUUUCGGGUUGUAAAGCACUUUAAGUAAGGAGAAAAAGAUUGCAGUUAAUACCUGCUAUCCGUGAUGUUACUUACAGAAUAAGGACCGGCUAAUUCCGUGCCAGCAGCCGCGGUAAUACGGAAGGUCCAAGCGUUAAUCGGAAUUACUGGGCGUAAAGCGCGCGUAGGUGGUUUUUUAAGUUGGAUGUGAAAGCCCUGGGCUCAACCUAGGAACUGCAUCCAAAACUAGAUGACUAGAGUACGAAAGAGGGAAGUAGAAUUCACAGUGUAGCGGUGGAAUGCGUAGAUAUUGUGAAGAAUACCAAUGGCGAAGGCAGCUUCCUGGUUCAGUACUGACACUAAGGUGCGAAAGCGUGGGUAGCGAACAGGAUUAGAUACCCUGGUAGUCCACGCCGUAAACGAUGACAACUAGCUGUUGGGAGACAAGAUCUCUCAGUGGCGCAGCUAACGCUUUAAGUUGUCCGCC
rnacentral:rRNA from 1 species